rnacentral:rRNA from 1 species
UGAACGCUGGCGGCGUGCCUAACACAUGCAAGUCGAACGGAGUCCAGCCUUUACGACCUUCGGGUCAAAGAGGGGAAGACUGAGUGGCGGACGGGUGAGUAACACGUGGGCAACCUGGCUCAUAGAGGGGGAUAACAGAGAGAAAUUUCUGCUAAUACCGCAUAAGCACACACUGCCGCAUGGCAGAGGGUGAAAAGAGAAUCGCUAUGAGAUGGACCCGCGUCUGAUUAGCCAGUUGGCAGGGUAAGAGCCUACCAAAGCGACGAUCAGUAGCCGAUCUGAGAGGAUGAACGGCCACAUUGGGACUGAGACACGGCCCAAACUCCUACGGGAGGCAGCAGUGGGGGAUAUUGCACAAUGGGGGGAACCCUGAUGCAGCGACGCCGCGUGAGUGAAGAAGUAUUUCGGUAUGUAAAGCUCUAUCAGCAGGGAAGAUAAUGACAGUACCUGAAUAAGAAGCCCCGGCUAACUACGUG